GAUGAAGAACGUAGCGAAAUGCGAUAAGUAAUGUGAAUUGCAGAAUUCAGCGAAUCAUCGAAUCUUUGAACGCACAUUGCGCCCGCCAGUAUUCUGGCGGGCAUGCCUGUUCGAGCGUCAUUACAACCCUCAGGCCCCCGGGCCUGGCGUUGGGGAUCGGCGGAAGCCCCCUGUGGGCACACGCCGUCCCUCAAAUACAGUGGCGGUCCCGCCGCAGCUUCCAUUGCGUAGUAGCUAACACCUCGCAACUGGAGAGCGGCGCGGCCAUGCCGUAAAACACCCAACUUCUGAAUGUUGACCUCGAAUCAGGUAGGAAUACCCGCUGAACUUAAGCAUAUCAAUAAGCGGAGGA
rnacentral:misc_RNA from 1 species